AUUGAACGCUGGCGGCAUGCUUUACACAUGCAAGUCGAACGGCAGCGCGGGCUUCGGCCUGGCGGCGAGUGGCGAACGGGUGAGUAAUACAUCGGAACGUGCCCAGUAGUGGGGGAUAGCUCGGCGAAAGCCGGAUUAAUACCGCAUACGACCUGAGGGUGAAAGCGGGGGAUCUUCGGACCUCGCGCUAUUGGAGCGGCCGAUGGCAGAUUAGCUAGUUGGUGGGGUAAAGGCCUACCAAGGCGACGGUCUGUAGCUGGUCUGAGAGGACGACCAGCCACACUGGGACUGAGACACGGCCCAGACUCCUACGGGAGGCAGCAGUGGGGAAUUUUGGACAAAGGGCGAAAGCCUGAUCCAGCAAUGCCGCGUGUGUGAUGAAGGCCUUCGGGUUGUAAAGCACUUUUGGCGGGAACGAAAAGGACUGUGCCAAUACCACGGUUCGAUGACGGUACCCGCAGAAUAAGCACCGGCUAACUACGUG
rnacentral:rRNA from 1 species